rnacentral:misc_RNA from 1 species
GAUGAAGAACGCAGCGAAAUGCGAUAAGUAAUGUGAAUUGCAGAAUUCAGUGAAUCAUCGAAUCUUUGAACGCACAUUGCGCCCGCCAGUAUCCUGGCGGGCAUGCCUGUUCGAGCGUCAUUUCAACCAUCAAGCCCCCGGCUUGUGUUGGGGACCUGCGGCUGCCGCAGGCCCUGAAAAGCAGUGGCGGGCUCGCUGUCACACCGAGCGUAGUAGCAUACAUCUCGCUCUGGGCGUGCUGCGGGUUCCGGCCGUUAAACCACCUUCAUAACCCAAGGUUGACCUCGGAUCAGGUAGGAAGACCCGCUGAACUUAAGCAUAUCAAUAAGCGGAGGA